UAGUACGGCGAGUGAAGAGGAAGAGCUCAAAGUUGGAACCUGUUUGGCCUAGCUAAACCGGAUUGUAGACUGUAGAAGUGUUUUCCAGGCAAGCCGAGUAAAUAAGUCCUUUGGAACAGGGCAUCAUAGAGGGUGAGAAUCCCGUCUUUGGCUUGAGCAUUUGCCUUUUGUGAUACGCUUUCAAAGAGUCAGGUUGUUUGGGAAUGCAGCCUAAAUUGGGUGGUAAAUCUCACCUAAAGCUAAAUAUUGGCGAGAAACCGAUAGCGAACAAGUACCGUGAGGGAAAGAUGAAAAGAACUUUGAAAAGAGAGUUAAACAGUAUGUGAAAUUGUUAAAAGGGAACCGUUUGGAGCCAGACUGGCUUGUCUGUAAUCAAUCUAGGCUUCGGCCUGGAUGCACUUGCAGGCUAUGCCUGCCAACGACAAUUUGACUUGAGGGAAAAAACUAGGGGAAAUGUGGCCCACUUGUGGGUGUUAUAGUCCCUUAGAAAAUACCUUGGGUUGGAUUGAGGAACGCAGCGAAUGCUUAUUGGCGAGUUUUCCAGGAAGGUUUUCUGAGGUACUACGGUAUCAAGGUUGAUCUUUUUGGUUAUACUUCUAUUCGCUUA
rnacentral:rRNA from 1 species